AUGGAUUAACAGGAAGAUGGACUUUUUUUUCACCCUAUUUCCCCUCAGCGUCUUUUGCAGAUGCUGGCGUCACAACAGAGCUGCGUAAAAUGUGCACAAGCCUGUCAGGAGUGAAGCGCAGCAGCGAGGCCUGUCUGUGUGCAGCCGACCUUUAAAGACGUGUGGGGCAAACCAGCGCUGCUCAUCUCUGCUGCAGACAAAAGAGGAGCUGGCAGACUGAAAACAAACCACUUAAGUGAUGCCACGGACCCAAUGUUGACUGGAAUGUCCUUCAGCCCCUGGUGAAUCAUGGGACGUACAGGCUGUCCCUGCAGGGUUUUGAGUUUCUUCAGUGUCGUAAAGCCAUCUGCAGAUGUGAAGGUGCAACAGGACUUUUGAGAAAGGAGGGGAAAAAUUCUGCUCUUUCCUGGAUGUACGCUAGAGAGAUACAAAAUAAGGAGGAUCAGCUUGGGUGGCAAAGUCACAACUACUCAAAAGCAAGUACUGAGGAUCCAUGGUGAGGAGGAUGACCUUCUGGGAACAGUCAUGAAUUUCUCCACACUUCCACUGAAGGCAGUGUAAGUGUAGAUUUCCUUUUCAGUGUGGAGUUAAGAUCAUAUCUCUAUAUACUUAGUAGCGCCAAUUUAUCUGAUAGCUCCAACCCCUCCCAGGCCCCAGUUCGAAAGAGAUGCAGAUUAUGAAAUGUUUUUAUCCCAUUUUACUGAAAAAGUGGAGUCCAUCAGGACUUCUGAUGACUUCCAUGACAUACUGCACGUACAACAAAACACAGUUUUAGUCUGUUUUAUCCUGUUACUCUGUCAUAGCUUUUAGAAACAGUAGCAUCCAUGAGAGUUCCCCCCAGCCCCUGAAUAAAAUACCCUCUAAAUUUAUAUUGAAAGUAAUGAGGUUCGUUUGGCCAUGUCUGCUUUGUGUUAUUAACAGCUUUCUGUCAAUGUUGCCUUUUAUAUAGAACAUUUUAAAAUAAAUAGUGUCUAAUCAACAUCUCACUGCACUGGACAGCAACUACAUAUCUGAAAACUUUCAAUCUGGUUUCCCCAAACCCCCCAGCACUGAGUAGUUCUAUUCUUAUUUAUGCAGCAGGAAGUUCUGUGUCUUUGCUGAUACACCGUGUUCCACAUU